rnacentral:rRNA from 1 species
UUUACGGAGAGUUUGAUCCUGGCUCAGGACGAACGCUGGCGGCGUGCUUAACACAUGCAAGUCGAACGAUGAUGCCCAGCUUGCUGGGUGGAUUAGUGGCGAACGGGUGAGUAACACGUGAGUAACCUGCCCCUGACUCUGGGAUAAGCGUUGGAAACGACGUCUAAUACUGGAUAUGAUCACUGGCCGCAUGGUCUGGUGGUGGAAAGAUUUUUUGGUUGGGGAUGGACUCGCGGCCUAUCAGCUUGUUGGUGAGGUAAUGGCUCACCAAGGCGACGACGGGUAGCCGGCCUGAGAGGGUGACCGGCCACACUGGGACUGAGACACGGCCCAGACUCCUACGGGAGGCAGCAGUGGGGAAUAUUGCACAAUGGGCGAAAGCCUGAUGCAGCAACGCCGCGUGAGGGAUGACGGCCUUCGGGUUGUAAACCUCUUUUAGUAGGGAAGAAGCGAAAGUGACGGUACCUGCAGAAAAAGCACCGGCUAACUACGUGCCAGCAGCCGCGGUAAUACGUAGGGUGCAAGCGUUGUCCGGAAUUAUUGGGCGUAAAGAGCUCGUAGGCGGUUUGUCGCGUCUGCUGUGAAAUCCCGAGGCUCAACCUCGGGCUUGCAGUGGGUACGGGCAGACUAGAGUGCGGUAGGGGAGAUUGGAAUUCCUGGUGUAGCGGUGGAAUGCGCAGAUAUCAGGAGGAACACCGAUGGCGAAGGCAGAUCUCUGGGCCGUAACUGACGCUGAGGAGCGAAAGCAUGGGGAGCGAACAGGAUUAGAUACCCUGGUAGUCCAUGCCGUAAACGUUGGGCGCUAGAUGUAGGGACCUUUCCACGGUUUCUGUGUCAUAGCUAACGCAUUAAGCGCCCCGCCUGGGGAGUACGGCCGCAAGGCUAAAACUCAAAGGAAUUGACGGGGGCCCGCACAAGCGGCGGAGCAUGCGGAUUAAUUCGAUGCAACGCGAAGAACCUUACCAAGGCUUGACAUACACCGGAAACGGCCAGAGAUGGUCGCCCCCUUGUGGUCGGUGUACAGGUGGUGCAUGGUUGUCGUCAGCUCGUGUCGUGAGAUGUUGGGUUAAGUCCCGCAACGAGCGCAACCCUCGUUCUAUGUUGCCAGCGGGUUGUGCCGGGGACUCAUAGGAGACUGCCGGGGUCAACUCGGAGGAAGGUGGGGAUGACGUCAAAUCAUCAUGCCCCUUAUGUCUUGGGCUUCACGCAUGCUACAAUGGCCGGUACAAAGGGCUGCGAUACCGUAAGGUGGAGCGAAUCCCAAAAAGCCGGUCUCAGUUCGGAUUGAGGUCUGCAACUCGACCUCAUGAAGUCGGAGUCGCUAGUAAUCGCAGAUCAGCAACGCUGCGGUGAAUACGUUCCCGGGCCUUGUACACACCGCCCGUCAAGUCAUGAAAGUCGGUAACACCCGAAGCCGGUGGCCUAACCCUUGUGGAAGGAGCCGUCGAAGGUGGGAUCGGUGAUUAGGACUAAGUCGUAACAAGGUAGCCGUACCGGAAGGUGCGGCUGGAUCACCUCCUUU